rnacentral:rRNA from 1 species
GAUGAACGCUGGCGGCGUGCCUAAUACAUGCAAGUCGAGCGAACGGACGAGAAGCUUGCUUCUCUGAUGUUAGUGGCGGACGGGUGAGUAACACGUGGAUAACCUACCUAUAAGACUGGGAUAACUUCGGGAAACCGGAGCUAAUACCGGAUAAUAUUUUGAACCGCAUGGUUCAAAAGUGAAAGACGGUCUUGCUGUCACUUAUAGAUGGAUCCGCGCUGCAUUAGCUAGUUGGUAAGGUAACGGCUUACCAAGGCAACGAUCACUAGCCGACCUGAGAGGAUGACCAGCCACACUGGGACUGAGACACGGUCCAGACGCCUACGGGAGGCAGCAGUGGGGAAUAUUGCACAAUGGGCGCAAUCCUGAUGCAGCCAUGCCGCGUGUGUGAAGAAGGCCUUCGGGUUGUAAAACACUUUCAGCGGGGAGGAAGGCAAUGCGGUUAAUAACCGCGUUGAUUGACGUUACCUGAAGAAGAAGCACCGGCUAACUCCGUG